AGAUGCCUCAUCUGAUUUGUUAUUGAGGCUGUGUGAUGAUUUCCUCUCGUCUUUCUAAUAAGGGGGCUGAAUGAGGGGAUACACUUCUCUCAGUCUCUCUGGGCGAGUGGAGGUGAACACAUCGUGUACAGCGAGGAGGGAGAUGGAAAUCUGUCUGACUUUAAUUCUUCUCUCAUCCACACUCACACUCACAGCAGCUGACAGUGUGAGGUUGGUGAAUGGUGGAAGUCGCUGUUCUGGGAGAGUGGAGGUUCUUCAUGAUGAUCAGUGGGGAACAGU